UACGACAGUAUUUGUAUUGGCUGGGAUUGAUCCCAACAUCGUGCUCUUCUUUUCUUUCUUCAACCUCAAGAGGCAUUCAAAUUCGCAUAGAUAGUGGUAUGUGAUGGUGUGAAGGAACAAGAACGUCCAUUUGCUGAUACAAGAUGCUCCUACCAUAGUCCAUGGAUGGAAAGAGCGAUUCCUUUUCAUCCUAGACGUCCGACGAGG
rnacentral:lncRNA from 1 species